UACGAAGGGGGCUAGCGUUGCUCGGAAUCACUGGGCGUAAAGCGCACGUAGGCGGACUCUUAAGUCGGUGGUGAAAUCCUGGAGCUCAACUCCAGAACUGCCCUUCGAUACUGGGAGUCUCGAGUUCGGGAGAGGGUGAGUGGAACUGCGAGUGUAGAGGUGAAAUUCGUAGAUAUUCGCAAGAACACCAGUGGCGAAGGCGGCUCACUGGCCCGAUACUGACGCUGAGGUGCGAAAGCGUGGGGAGCAAACAGGG
rnacentral:rRNA from 1 species